AAUGAACGCUGGCGGCAUGCCUAACACAUGCAAGUCGAACGAAGCCUUCGGGCUUAGUGGCGCACGGGUGCGUAACGCGUGGGAAUCUGCCCUUGGGUUCGGAAUAACAGUGGGAAACUACUGCUAAUACCGAAUGAUGUCGCAAGACCAAAGAUUUAUCGCCCAGGGAUGAGCCCGCGUAGGAUUAGCUAGUUGGUGUGGUAAAAGCGCACCGAGGCGACGANCCUUAGCUGGUCUGAGAGGAUGAUCAGCCACACUGGGACUGAGACACGGCCCAGACUCCUACGGGAGGCAGCAGGUGGGGAAUAUUGGACAAUGGGCGAAAGCCUGAUCCAGCAAUGCCGCGUGAGUGAUGAAGGCCUUAGGGUUGU
rnacentral:rRNA from 1 species